rnacentral:rRNA from 1 species
AUUGAACGCUGGCGGCAGGCCUAACACAUGCAAGUCGAACGAGUGGCGGACGGGUGAGUCAUGUCUGGGAAACUGCCCGAUGGAGGGGGAUAACUACUGGAAACGGUAGCUAAUACCGCAUACUCUCGGAUGUGAGCCGAUGGGGUUAGCUGUCGGGUGGGGUAACGGCUCACCUAGGCGACGCUCCCUAGCUGGUCUGAGAGGAUGACCAGCCACACUGGAACUGAGACACGGUCCAGACUCCUACGGGAGGCAGCAGUGGGGAAUAUUGCACAAUGGGCGCAAGCCUGAUGCAGCCAUGCCGCGUGUAUGAAGAAGGCCUUCGGGUUGUAAAGUACUUUCAGCGAGGAGGCGUUACUCGCAGAAGAAGCACCGGCUAACUCCGUGCCAGCAGCCGCGGUAAUUC